UGUAAAAACAUAAGCUGCCAUGACUUACUGAUCAUAUCAUUUUGUGCAGUGCACUGAUGCAAAAUCAAUGUAACUUUAGUAAAUUAUGACAUCAUGAAUCGGCAGCGAGUGACGCAAACCAUUGUUCUGGAUCAGAAUCCCGGAUGGAUGACCAUAAAUCCCCUUUGGAGAGGCUUCUCUGCUUGAUCCUGGGUUUGAUCCCAGGAAAGGCCAGUAAAUGGAUUAGAGAGGCGCGAGGAACACGGAGGAGGAAGAUUCAAUCCCUUUAGCCGAGACCUGAGGCUUGUGCGAGCGCAGAUAUAGUGUAAUCCUCAUGCUGGCCUUUCACGGGUCAGCGGCGCUCGCUUCGGUCUGGAGGAGCGUUACAGCCUGAUCUGACCGUCAGAACCAGAGUGACCCGGCUAUGACCACCCCGCUGGCUCAUAUGAGGGGUCGAGGACCAGCGAGGGCUCAGGGUCAGACGCCCCGUCGGGAUGAAUGUGACAGACCCAUCUGCUGCGCAGUGGACGGCGCCUCCAGCCAGCUGUGACCGAGACCGAAGUGUCAUCCUGAUGCUCUAAUGAUGGAUGAACAGGACAAAUAUCAACACUGAUCUGCUGCUUUUAAUGGAUGCUGUUGUUUGUUUAUGCAGAGACUGAAAACCUGUAUGAUCUAAUUCCUGGAAGCUUCCUAAAUCCAGCCAAACAGAUUGGAAAUGUCAUUUUGUGCACAACAUACUUCAGUCGGUCCGUCGGUGAAGAGAGAGGAGGCCUGGAACAGACACACAUCCAAUGGGCAAAGACACAUCAUUAACCAGACGAGAAGCGGCUUCCUCAUCAAGAGAUGGAGAAGAAGACAGAACCGAAGGAGGAGAGAUUUAACUCCGCUGUUCUGAGAGCCGCAGUCCAGAUGACUACAGAGGGCACUGAUGGUGGAGGAAGCCGAAGCGGCGUCAUUAAAUCGACGGACCUUGUGCGACCUGCGCGCGCCGCGCACUUUGAAGUUAUCUUUUGUUCGCAUCAUUAUGAACGGCAGAGAUUCUGUCUGACUCACCGGCUACAUUCAAUGAAACUCAUUAAGCGCUCGCAGGAAACCAGAACAGAUGGUUUUGUUCUAUUUCUGCUCUGUUUUUCUUCGAGAUGUUCAAGGUAAUCACUUUAUUGGGCUCGAGCGGGAACUGUACAUCGAGAACUCCACGCUCGCUUUGAAGUCGCAGAAUUAAAAACCGGAUCAAUACACAGACAAAAAUGCCCAGAUUGCAGUGAAUGCAGCUCUGAGAACACGCUCACACACCGACCGCUAAUAAGAGCCUUCACAUUAAUUGAUUUUGCCUUCAUGCGUCUCCCGGUAUUACAUGUUAGAGUGGCGUUCCCUCGGAUCCCAAUCCAAUCUCACGUUCCUGUUCCAGCACAAACAUGCAUUCAACAAAAUAGGCCAAAUGCAGCGGAGUGUUUUUGAAAACAGAGCAUUUCUGCAAAAUACUGAGCUAGAUUAAAGCCAAACGCUCGUUUGAUUGACACAGAAUUGUGCAUUUCAAAGGCUUAAGAAUAUUAAUCACAGAUUCGCCACAAAGAAACUUUCAAGUCAUCUCGGCGCUGCUGACCGUGUAUUUCUGUCCAGGAUUGACCUGAUCUUCACUGUAGGCCUAUUGGAUGUUUUUCUCUCUGUUGAUGAUGUAUAAGUAGAGGGUGAAGGAUUUCAUUGGGUCCCAGAUUCCCAGAGAGGUGUCCGUGUGUUUAGUUGAGUUUGUUAUUUCUCAGGAGUUCCCAUUAUUCCAUCUACAGGCAUCAGUCUGCCAGGAAACGCUGGAACAAAUCAAUAGAGCUGUCCAGAGACUCGCUGCUUCACAGAGAGAGAGAGAGAAUAUCUAGAAAUACUUCUGGUGAUCAGCUUACAAAGUAUUUCAACACUUCAGUCACACUUAUAAAUGUCUGAAUGUCACGAGUCACGUCAGCUUUACAGCGCUUUAUACAAUCAGAGGUACCUGAAAACCACGCUUAACCCUUUUUUAUGUAGACUCAGGCUGUUGGGGACCGCAGAUAACAAAAUGUGAUUUUGUAACAAAAUAAUGUUUUUGGAAAAUAACAAAUGUAAUUUUUAUCACUUUAUUAAUGUUUUUACUUUAUAUGUGUGCAGUUUUGGGGGAAUUUAUGGCAUGAUUUAAAUUUAUAUAAAUAAAUUAAUAAAUAUUUUUGAAAAAAUAUCUAUGUAAAAUUCACUUUAAAAAAGCUCCACGUUUCUAAUUUUCAUUCAUGGAGCUAACAUGGAUAAUUUACCAUGAUUUAGUGUUAGAUUUUUGCCAUCUGUUGGAAAAUAGAUCUUUAAAAGUAAAAAAGUAUCACUUUCACUUUCCACUAUAUUUGACAUGCUUUUUGACUAACUGAGACAUCUUUCCAUAAGUUUUUUCCAGUUUGAUUCGUGUGUGUGUGUGUGAUAAUUUUGCAUUGUGGAUGUUUUAAAGUGUUGCCGCUUCAUUUCUGUCUGUGUGUUCUGCGUUGUUUCUGAUUCUGAGGAUGAAUUUGAGCCAUUUUCGAAGCGAACAGCUUGAGUGUGACUUUUUUCACACUAACAUAAAACAAGAUAUUCCAAUUUAUUUAUUUAA